UUGCUUUACAAACCAGUGGUCCCGAAGCAAAAGCCACAUUUCCAACUAGAUGCAUAUACAAAUGAUAACAGUGACCAUAAGCCUGUGUUCGGAAAUAAAACAACAAGCUGGAUUUGGCUGUAGAUUUGGAACUGGAUUUGGUACCUUGAGUCGAGGUAUUCGUGUUGGACGCCAAACACUCGGAGCCGUACUUCGAAGAAAUAAACACUAAUGCCGUGCAGCUUCGGGCUUCAUCUCCGCGGUAUGUUCUAGGGCGCUGACCACUCGCAUAUGCACCUCGCCGGACCGGCCUUGUUCUUGAGAAGAGCCUGGUGGUGGCCUGGCGCAUGGCAUUCACAGAUCGUUGCUCGCUGUGCUUUCUGGCAAGUACAGCGAUCUCUAUGCUCAAAACCUCACCUCACAGCAUUUACGCUUACUACCACCAAUCGAUGCUUAAUGAUAGUUUUCCCCCGUUACUAUCGUUUAGACUUCGGAGGUGUUCCAGGCGGACUUCGAUCCUGGGCUAUUGUUGCGACAGGAGGCUACCAAAACAGGUGUGUACUUCUCCUCCAAAGUGGUAUCCUCUUGGCUUCUUCCUCCACACAACUCCAGAAAUUUACCCAGAAAUUGUAUUUUCCUUUCUUAGCGUUCCUAUGCAUUACGCACCGACCCUCUCGCCACCCGCGCAUGCACUGCAGUCGAACUGUUUCCUCUGGCUGGGCUUCAUCUCAACCAGCAGCUAUGUCUGAAAUUGAACAUCACCUCAAAACGGACGAAGAAACAAUUAAAUGGCAAGCGCCGUCCACCAGCGUCUACAUCGAGCGGUG
rnacentral:lncRNA from 1 species